rnacentral:rRNA from 1 species
GAUAAACGCUGGCGGCGCACAUAAGACAUGCAAGUCGAACGGAAGUCGUUAUAAAUGAAUUGAAGAUUUAUCUGAUUGAAAUUUGUAACAAUGACUUUAGUGGCGGACUGGUGAGUAACGCGUAAGGAAUCUACCUAUUAGAGGGGAAUAACAAUGAGAAAUCAUUGCUAAUACCGCAUAUGCCAUAAUGAAGGCAUCUUCAUAGUGGGAAAGGAGCAAUUCGCUAAUAGAUGAUCUUGCGUCUGAUUAGUUAGUUGGUGGGGUAACGGCCUACCAAGACGACGAUCAGUAGCCGGACUGAGAGGUUGAACGGCCACAUUGGGACUGAGAUACGGCCCAGACUCCUACGGGAGGCAGCAGUCGGGAAUAUUGCGCAAUGGAGGAAACUCUGACGCAGUGACGCCGCGUAUAGGAAGAAGGUUUUCGGAUUGUAAACUAUUGUCGUUAGGGAAGAAAAAAGACAGUACCUAAGGAGGAAGCUCCGGCUAACUACGUGCCAGCAGCCGCGGUAAUACGUAGGGAGCAAGCGUUAUCCGGAUUUAUUGGGUGUAAAGGGUGCGUAGACGGGUAAUCAAGUUAGUUGUGAAAUCCCUUGGCUUAACUGAGGAACUGCAACUAAAACUGGUUAUCUUGAGUACAGGAGAGGUAAGUGGAAUUCCUAGUGUAGCGGUGAAAUGCGUAGAUAUUAGGAGGAACACCAGUGGCGAAGGCGACUUACUGGACUGAAACUGACGUUGAGGCACGAAAGUGUGGGGAGCAAACAGGAUUAGAUACCCUGGUAGUCCACACUGUAAACGAUGGAUACUAGGUGUAGGGGAUAUUAAGUUCUCUGUGCCGUCGCAAACGCAGUAAGUAUCCCACCUGGGGAGUACGGCCGCAAGGUUGAAACUCAAAGGAAUUGACGGGGGCCCGCACAAGCAGUGGAGUAUGUGGUUUAAUUCGAAGCAACGCGAAGAACCUUACCAGGGCUUGACAUAUAGAGGAAUAUAUAAGAGAUUAUAUAGUUCUUCGGAACCUCUAUACAGGUGGUGCAUGGUUGUCGUCAGCUCGUGUCGUGAGAUGUUGGGUUAAGUCCCGCAACGAGCGCAACCCCUGUUCUUAGUUGCCAGCACGUUAAGGUGGGAACUCUAAGAAGACUGCCGGUGAUAAAUCGGAGGAAGGUGGGGACGACGUCAAAUCAUCAUGCCCUUUAUGUCCUGGGCUACACACGUACUACAAUGGCUGUAACAGAGGGAAGCGAACCCGCGAGGAGGAGCAAAACCCAAAAAAGCAGUCUCAGUUCGGAUUGAAGGCUGAAAUUCGCCUUCAUGAAGCCGGAAUUGCUAGUAAUGGCAGGUCAGCAUACUGCCGUGAAUACGUUCCCGGGCCUUGUACACACCGCCCGUCACACCAUGAGAGUUGGGAAUACCCGAAGCCUGUGAGCUAACUAUAUAGAGGCAGCAGUCGAAGGUAGAAUCAAUGAUUGGGGUGA